rnacentral:rRNA from 1 species
GAUGAACGCUGGCGGCGUGCCUAAUACAUGCAAGUCGAGCGAACAGACGAGGAGCUUGCUCCUCUGACGUUAGCGGCGGACGGGUGAGUAACACGUGGAUAACCUACCUAUAAGACUGGGAUAACUUCGGGAAACCGGAGCUAAUACCGGAUAAUAUAUUGAACCGCAUGGUUCAAUAGUGAAAGACGGUUUUGCUGUCACUUAUAGAUGGAUCCGCGCCGCAUUAGCUAGUUGGUAAGGUAACGGCUUACCAAGGCAACGAUGCGUAGCCGACCUGAGAGGGUGAUCGGCCACACUGGAACUGAGACACGGUCCAGACUCCUACGGGAGGCAGCAGUAGGGAAUCUUCCGCAAUGGGCGAAAGCCUGACGGAGCAACGCCGCGGGAGUGAUGAAGGUCUUCGGAUCGUAAAACUCUGUUAUUAGGGAAGAACAAAUGUGUAAGUAACGAUGCACGUCUUGACGGUACCUAAUCAGAAAGCCACGGCUAAAUACGGGC